UACAGAGGUCUCGAGCGUUGUUCGGAUUCAUUGGGCGUAAAGGGUGCGUAGGCGGUCGGGUAAGUCUGGCGUGAAAUCUCCAAGCCUAACUUGGAAACUGCGUUGGAUACUAUCCGGCUCGAGGAAUGGAGGGGAGACUGGAAUACUUGGUGUAGCAGUGAAAUGCGUAGAUAUCAAGUGGAACACCAGUGGCGAAGGCGAGUCUCUGGACAUUUCCUGACGCUGAGGCACGAAAGCCAGGGGAGCAAACGGG
rnacentral:rRNA from 1 species